rnacentral:rRNA from 1 species
AGCAGCCGCGGUAAUUCCAGCUCCAAUAGCGUAUAUUAAAGUUGUUGCAGUUAAAAAGCUCGUAGUUGAAUUUCGAGAUCAAAUUGUUGGUCGUGCCUCGGUACGUACUGGCAUUAUUGAUUUCUCCCUUCUGAAGAACCUUGAUGUCAUUAAUUUGGUGUCUUGGGGAAUCAGGACCGUUACUUUGAAAAAUUAGAGUGUUUAAAGCAGGCUCACGCUUGAAUACAUUAGCAUGGAAUAAUGAAAUAGGACGUUUGAUUCUAUUUUGUUGGUUUCUAGGAUCGACGUAAUGAUUAAUAGGGAUAGUUGGGGGCAUUAGUAUUCAAUUGUCAGAGGUGAAAUUCUUGGAUUUAUUGAAGACUAACUACUGCGAAAGCAUUUGCCAAGGAUGUUUUCAUUAAUCAAGAACGAAAGUUAGGGGAUCGAAGACGAUCAGAUACCGUCGUAGUCUUAACCAUAAACUAUGCCGACUAGGGAUCGGAUGAUGUUAAUUUUUAAUGACUCAUUCGGCGCCUUAACC